rnacentral:rRNA from 1 species
AGCGAACGCUGGCGGCAGGCCUAACACAUGCAAGUCGAACGAACCUUUCGGGGUUAGUGGCGGACGGGUGAGUAACACGUGGGAACGUGCCUUUAGGUUCGGAAUAACUCAGGGAAACUUGUGCUAAUACCGAAUGUGCCCUUCGGGGGAAAGAUUUAUCGCCUUUAGAGCGGCCCGCGUCUGAUUAGCUAGUUGGUUGAGGUAAUGGCUCACCAAGGCGACGAUCAGUAGCUGGUCUGAGAGGAUGAUCAGCCACAUUGGGUCUGAGACACGGCCCAAACUCCUACGGGAGGCAGCAGUGGGGAAUCUUGCGCAAUGGGCGAAAGCCUGACGCAGCCAUGCCGCGUGAAUGAUGAAGGUCUUAGGAUUGUAAAAUUCUUUCACCGGGGACGAUAAUGACGGUACCCGGAGAAGAAGCCCCGGCUAACUUCGUG